rnacentral:rRNA from 1 species
CCUACGGGAGGCAGCAGUAGGGAAUCUUUCACACUGGGCGAAAGCCUGAUGGAGCAACGCCGCGUGCAGGAUGAAGGCCUUCGGGUUGUAAACUGCUUUUAUAAGCGAGAAAUAUGAUGGUAACUUAUGAAUAAGGAUCGGCUAACUACGUGCCAGCAGCCGCGGUCAUACGUAGGAUCCGAGCAUUAUCCGGAUUGACUGGGUGUAAAGAGUUGCGUAGGUGGCAUAAUAAGUAGCUAGUGAAAUCUGGUGGCUCAACCAUUCAGACUAUUAGCUAAACUGUUAAGCUCGAGACCGUUAGGGGUAACUGGAAUUUCUAGUGUAGGAGUGAAAUCCGUAGAUAUUAGAAGGAACACCAAUAGCGUAGGCAGGUUGCUGGGACGGUUCUGACACUAAGGCACGAAAGCGUAGGGAGCAAACGGGAUUAGAUACCCGUGUAGUC